rnacentral:rRNA from 1 species
CAGAGGGUGCAAGCGUUAAUCGGAUUUACUGGGCGUAAAGGGUGCGUAGGUGUCUAUUUAAGUCGGAUGUGAAAGCCCGGGGCUCAACCUCGGAAUUGCAUUCGAUACUGGGUGGCUAGAGUUCGGUAGAGGGCGGCGGAAUUUCCGGUGUAGCGGUGAAAUGCGUAGAUAUCGGAAGGAACAUCAAUGGCGAAGGCAGCCGCCUGGGCCUGAACUGACACUGAGGCACGAAAGCGUGGGUAGCAAACAGGAUU